rnacentral:rRNA from 1 species
UGGUUCAGACAUGCAAGUCGAGCGAUCUGUUAUCUGGAGUAAUCCGGGUAUCAGAGAGCGGCGUAAGGGAGAGUAAUGAGUAGAUAACGUACCCUCAGCUCGGGGAUAACCGCGGUGGCUUCGGUCACCUCGCGAAAGUGCGGAUAAUACCCGAUGAUCUUCAAGGGUUUUGUGCCCUUGUAGCAAAGGUGGGGCUCCUUCGGGACCUGCCGGCAGAGGAGCGGUCUACUUCCCAUCAGCUUGUUGGUGAGGUAAUGGCUCACCAAGGCGACGACGGGUAGCCGGCCUGAGAGGGUGUUCGGCCUCACUGGGACUGAGACACUGCCCAGAGCCCUACGGGGUGCUGCAGUUUCGAAUCGUUCGCAAUGCGCGAAAGCGUGACGACGCGACGCCGCGUGCGGGAGGAAGGCCUUCGGGUUGUAAACCGCUUUUAGGGGGUAUGAAGAGAUCGGGGUCAAUAGCCCCGUGAUCUGACGUCAACCCCAGAAUAAGCUCCGGCUAACUUCGUGCCAGCAGCCGCGGUAAGACGAAGGGAGCGAGCGUUGUUCGGUAUCACUGGGCUUAAAGAGCGCGUAGGCGGCCGGAUGGGUCGGUUGUGAAAUCCCUGGGCUCAACUCAGGAAUUGCUUCCGAAACUAUUCGACUUGAGGCAUUCUGGGGGCGACUGGAACUCUUGGUGGAGCGGUGAUAUGCGUAGAUAUCAAGAGGAACGCCAGUGGUGAAGACGGGUCGCUGGGAAUGUCCUGACGCUGAGGCGCGAAAGCUAGGGGAGCGAACGGGAUUAGAUACCCCGGUAGUCCUAGCCGUAAACGAUGUGCACUAGGCUGCGGUAGUUCUGACACUGUCGCGGCCGUAGCAAAAGUGUUAAGUGCACCGCCUGGGGAGUACGGUCGCAAGGCUAAAACUCAAAGGAAUUGACGGGGGCUCACACAAGCGGUGGAGGAUGUGGCUCAAUUCGAAACAACGCGAAGAACCUUAUCCUGGGUUUUACAUGCACGGAUGAAACCUGUGAAAGCAGGGGACUGCCCGCAAGGGUGAAACGUGCACAGGUGCUGCAUGGCUGUCGUCAGCUCGUGCUGUGAAGUGUCGGGUUAAGUCCCUUAACGAGCGAAACCCUUGUCGUUAGUUACCAGCGGGUCAUGCCGGGAACUCUAACGAGACUGCCGGUGUUAAACCGGAGGAAGGUGGGGAUGACGUCAAGUCCUCAUGGCCUUUAUGCCCAGGGCUGCACACGUCCUACAAUGGGAUGGACAAAGGGUUGCGAAACCGCGAGGUCAAGCUAAUCCCAAAAACCAUCUCCCAGUCCGGAUUGCAGGCUGCAACUCGCCUGCAUGAAGUCGGAAUCGCUAGUAAUCGCGGAUCAGCAUGCCGCGGUGAAUAUGUUCCUGAGCCUUGUACACACCGCCCGUCAAGCCAUGGGAGCUGGUAGUACCCGAAGUCGCUGACCCAACCCCUCGGGGAGGGAGGUGCCGACGGUAAGACCGGUGACUGGGGCUAAGUCGUAACAAGGUA